rnacentral:tRNA from 1 species
GCCGGUUAGGGUGAUCCUCGUCCAGGUGCGCAGGCGGGGGUUACUUCCUUUUGCGGAGUGUGUCGCGGGUUCGAGUCCCGUCACCGGCU